CAGAGAAAGAGAGACUGCGAAAUCAUUUUAAUUUGCGGCUUCAACUCAAAUUUUAAUCACGUUUAUCUAUGAGUUUGAUUGCUGGACUACUCACACACAAAGUGACAAUGCAAAUAAACACAACCCGCAAUUACUGCAGCUGUAUGAACCCAAAAUAAACAUUUUGCAGCGAUUUUGUUGCAAUAAAGGGAUCAAACUGAUGCUGAAAUAACAACAGCAUGAUGCCGAUUUGUUAAACACAUUAAGUGAUGCUUGCUGUCAGCAAGAAGACAAGCUUACAACUUUUAAAAUGCUUGGUUUCCAAAUGGCAUUCGACUCGAUCUGGACUAUGCUGUGCUAACUUCUUUCAUAGUAAAGUACAACAAUCAAUCUCUCAUACAUUUUCUGAACUUACCAGGUUGUUCAACAUCCUCACUCAGCAAUUUCCUGUUUCGUCCGUUCUGUAGUCAUAAUAAAGCAAGACCACAGAGCUCCGGCAGCUACAAUUGCAACAGUGGGAGCCGGAUACACGGUAGCACGCUGCUGAGAAGCGCAAGUGAAGAUAAAUCAACGUUUUAAUCCCAAAAAAUACAAAGCUCCCAGUCGCUCAGCAGCUGUUUGUUGGCCAGCUCCGGGUCUGUCCCUCCGCUCUUCCUGGUGUCCCUGUCCUCUAUACACCACACUCUGAAAAGCAGUCUGUGACGUCCGGACAGUCUAUACGCUGAUAGGCUGUCACGACAAAGCGGCACACGAAUUUCACGCUUGAGUUGUGUGAAACCAGCGUAACCUGCAGAGUGUACUGAAUUAAGCAAAGGUGCGUUUUCUUGCUUAUGAAUUUAAGUUCUAUUCAUUUAAGUAUUUAUUAAGGUUAUUUCUUCUUUCAAAAGUUCCACAGUUUCACUUUAAAAGUUAAAAUAUUUAGAUUAUGUAAAAGAAAGAAAGAAACUUGUGAGAAAGGGGAUUGAAAAGAAACUGUCACUGCAUACCAUUACAAGCAAUUAUUUGUUUAAUUUAUACAAACUUUGGUUCAGCUAAGUAGUUAAGGAACCAGAGGGGUUAUUAGUGUACCUUUUUUAUUAGUUUACUUAAAAUCUACCCGAAAUUAUAAAAUGAGCAGCUUUUUAAAUGUAUACUGAUUGAAUCUUUACUGGCCGUGGACUUGAUUCUGUUAUUAUUAUUAUUAUUUUAAAAACAUGAAGAGUGUUGGGGUCUUACCUAAGAUGUUUUAAACCGUAUUACUUUGAGGGACGUCAGAUCAGGUUCGGGUUACUUUAUUUGCACCCUUUGUUUUGCAGUAGAUGUGUCAUCCUCACAUUUUAGAAAAGCUCCCAGACAGUACACAGUAGAUAAACAUAGUAAAAGUACUGAAGGUUCCAAUCAUCAUUAAAUAAAUAAAUAAUAACGUGAUAUAGAUGAGUUGUGUUGUGUGGAAAUUGUAGACCCAUAUACCAAUGUCAGGACAGAGAUAAGUUAAGAGUUACCAAAUCACUUUUUCAAAUACAGGAAACUAGUAUUAAAACGUGUGAAAAGACUCAAAACAGUGGAGAGAUGUAAAGUUUUAACAUUUCCUGUUUUGUUUUUCCAGCUGCGCAACUGCCUGGAGAUGGACGUGUACGAACUGUUUCA